rnacentral:rRNA from 1 species
AUGAGUUGGCCAAAGACGAAGAGAGCUUUGCGGCGAGAGUUCGUGCCUCCAACCUACAUGGAACAACUUCUACGCCAAUUGGAGAACACCAUCCAAGGAUCCAAGUCCAUCGACGAGUACUUCAAGGAGAUGAAGAUUGCCUUGCGACGAGCCGGCGUGGACGACCCCAUUUCGAUGAAGUUCCACUUCAUGAUGGGAUUGCACAACGACAUCUCCAAGACGAUCUUCCUCGAGAACUACAAGUCCCUCGACGACAACUACAUUGGUGCUCUCAAGGCGGAACAAGAACUCACAAAUGGUGACGAGCAAGGAUGA